rnacentral:rRNA from 1 species
CAAAAACAUGGCUCUUCGUUUAUUUAAUAUGAGGAGUCGGGCCUGCCCGGUGGUAAAGAUUAUUUAACGGCUGCGGUGAAUAACCGUACUAAGGUAGCGUAAUAAGUUGUCCUUUGAAUGGGGAAUGGAAUGAAUGGCAUGACGAAAAAGUGGCUGUGUCUUAAACAAAACGAAUGUGCUGAAAGCUGAGAAAUUUCUUUUCAAGUGAAAAAGCUUGAGUCAAGGUAAAAGAAGAGAAGACCCCGUCGAGCUUGAUUACUGCUAGGCUAGUUUAUUUAAUAUGAAAUUUUAGUGAAGCUUGUCUUGGUGGAAAGUUUGGUUGGGGCAACUGCGAGCCAGGUGGAACGCAUGUGUUUAUUUUAUAGAGCCUGUACGAUAGAUAUAGAGGAAAAGCUACCGCGGGGAUAACAGCGUAAUCCUCUUUUGGAGUUCGAAUCAAUGGGAGGGUUUGCGACUUCGAUGUUGGAUUAGGGUAUCUUUAUGCUGCAGC